AGCGGGCAGCCAAAGAGCUAAAAAGAAAAAAAAGGCAAAACAGCCAGAACUGCCUGGGGAGAAAUAAAAAUCUAUUCUAAAUGUAAAUAAUUGUUAAUCCCGUGGUCACAGAUACGUGAGCGGUGCCAGCCUCCCUGAUUUGCAAUUGUUAGAAGCACAUGAUCAGAUGGAGUCCCACCAUGCCAUCUAAUCCAGAGGCGGUCUGGCUUUAAGACAUGUGAUACAGUUUUUACACUGAGCCCAGCUGUGCGGGAGCAUUGGUGUGGUGGUUCUCCCAGCCAGCAGAGCUGAGCAGAGCUGAGCUGCUGGAAGGAUGCGGACGCUCCGACAGAUUCCGCUACACUUCAUUAAGGAGCUCUCCGCGCAGCGUGCCUGUAAAUGCGAGGGGCGCAGAUGAAUCCAGUGUCAGCGAGGGCAGCUCCUCCAGGUGAAGCAGUGGCUUUUUUUCUUCUUUUUUUCUUCUUUUUUUUAAAAAGGUGGAAUUGAAAAGGCUGUAAAAUCUAUUUCCCCGACUCCCGACUUGACGGUUAUUUCUGAGUCACUGGACUGUUGCUAUCAAAGUGCGGAGCAGGGGAGGCAGGAGUCCGCGGAGUUCCUCCUCCAGCCACAUUCCAGAGUUACUGGAUGGGAUCAUCAUAAGCACAUUUAUGGAUGGAUUUAUGACAGUCUAUUGAAGUAUUUGUGCAGUUUGUUGGGUUGUUCAGCAGAUGUGUCCUGUCAUGUCCUGGCUGCUCUGCUUGUGCCUCUGGGUUAGUCUGACUGCCAUCCAGCUGUGCCAGGCUACUUUCUACGACACCAUCCAGCAGAAUCCUGGCACGAGGCCUGGUCGAACCACAAUACACAUGAUUGAGGGGGGCACCUGUGAGGUAAUUGCUGCUCACAGAUGCUGUAAUAAGAAUCGUAUUGAGGAACGGUCACAGACGGUCAAGUGUUCUUGUCUGCCAGGGAAAGUGGCAGGAACCACCAGAAACAGGCCUUCGUGUGUUGACGCGUCCAUAGUCAUUGGGAAGUGGUGGUGUGAGAUGGAGCCCUGCUUAGAAGGGGAAGAAUGCAAGACACUGCCUGACAAUUCGGGCUGGAUGUGCUAUGCUGGGAACAAGAUUAAAACCACAAGGAACACUCAGCCAUACACUACAUCAACAUAUUAACCGUUUGCGGGAAGGAUGGAAGUAAAUACCUCUAGAUCCAAGGUCAGCAUUUCCAUAUGUGCUGCAACGCCAACCAAUGUCAUUGGGCCAAUUAUCACAAGAGACAAUGAACCUAUUGUUGCUUCAAGAAAUGUGAACACUUUCAAAUAAAAGUUUAAAAAGAUGUAGAAACACUAAGCACAUCUUGCUCAAGGCUCCCAAAAUACCGACGCUCCAAGCAGCCUGCGGGGAACUUCAUCAUAACCUUGUAAUGAAUCUUUUUUCAUCAUUUUUUUCCCCCCAACUUUGAGAUGAAGCAUGACUGUCUGUGCAUUUGGAUUAAUAUUUGCAGAGUAACUGACAGCCCUUUUCAGACAUUAGUGAGAAGGAUGUAAAGCACCAAACAAGAGAGGAAUCUAUCAAAAAACAUGGAUUGAGAAAACACAGAAGCUGAAAGCCCUCAGGAUUUUAUUUUCUCUUUGUAAUAUUGUACAUAAAUUGUUUGUCCUUUUCAGUGUACAUGAACUUAAUUUGUGGUGAUGGUGAAUCUAAACUCUUCUUAUAAACAAAACCCAACACAGUCGGAGGUUGAUGAGAUCAUCUACAUCAUGUUAAGAUGAAACAGUCAUUAAGGAGAAGUUUUAAAAAUACAGUUUGUGUGUUCUGACAUACCAUUGGUUUGUAUGGUACGUGUACACCUUUGAUCACCUCUUAAAUGGCUUUACCAGUUUGAUUUGGUAAUGUGCCAUCAGUAGGUUAUUUUCGAUACUUGAAAUGCCUUAUUUGUGUGAAAUCAUUCAAAUGAUGUACAUAUGAAGUCAUUUAUGGACAUGUGAUGAAUUCUAAUAAAGUUAUUG